UGUGGGAGCGAGCUUGCUCGCGAUAGCGUCAGUUCAGCCAGCAUUAAUGUUGCCUGAAACACUGUCAUCGCGAGCAAGCUCGCUCCCACC
rnacentral:misc_RNA from 1 species